rnacentral:misc_RNA from 1 species
ACAACUUUGAAUGAACAGGAAUUUUAGAUAUGCUUUGAAAAUCUCAGACAUAAACAGAAUGGCUCAUUUCUGAUAGACACAUCAAAGAUAAAAGGAAGUACAUAUAACAGAGUUAAAGUCCUGUCCCUUUUGCCUCUAGGGAUCACCAGAUUCACAAUGUAAACAUUCCGUAAGCAUCUCUUAACAGGACCUGACAGGAAGUACCACGCUUGACACACCAACAGAAGUUUAGAGAUGGUUGGAACAUAUUGAAGUUCAAUGAUCAAGUGGAAUUAAAUGACAUAUGAUCACUCAUGCAAUUUAAACUUCUGAAUACAUUAAAUCAUCACUCCAUAUAUAACUGACAUUAG